ACGAAGGGGGCGAGCGUUGUUCGGAAUCACUGGGCGUAAAGGGCGCGUAGGCGGCUCGGCACGUCCGUUGUGAAAUCGCCCGGCUCAACUGGGCGGGGUCGGCGGAUACGGCCGAGCUGGAGCAAGCUAAGGGGUAAUGGAAUUCCCGGUGUAGUGGUGGAAUGCGUAGAUAUCGGGAGGAACACCAGUGGCGAAGGCGGUUACCUGGAGCUUUGCUGACGCUGAUGCGCGAAAGCGUGGGGAGCGAUCCGGA
rnacentral:rRNA from 1 species